UUCCAUGGAUUUGACUGUGGAGCAAUCUGUGCUUAUUCUAUCCCUCCCUAAGAAGAUUCCAAACAGAAACUGUACCCUACUGGUAUCAGUGGCAAUAACUGCAGCCCAAUAUGACAGGAAAAGUUUUUGCUUAACAGUCAGACAAUGCAAGUUUCACUCCAAAUUCCUUCUUUUCAUCCUGAGGGCUUGGGGGGAAAAGAAGAUAAGCUAUGAAUGAUGGUUGAUGCCUUCCUCAUGUAACUGUGAAAAGCAGGGACUUGAACCUAGGACCUUGCACUCGGUAACAGAGGUGCUCUACCAGGAUUUAGCUGUUCUGAGCCAACUUUUUCAGAUAAGAGAUAUACAGAGACAUAAGGAAAGAAGAAAAGAUCCCAUUGCACCAAAACUUCCCCCAAUGUGUUAGAGACUGGACUUGAAACUGGGUCAUACAAAGCAGUCAUACUCUCCAGGUGAGCUAUCUUUCUGGCUCUGAAGUUUUAAAUUCUUUUUUUUUUAAUUUAUUUCUUUAUUGGGGAAUUAAUGCUUUACAUUCAACAGUAAAUACAAUAGUUUGUUCAUGCAUAACAU